rnacentral:lncRNA from 1 species
CAAAAGGUGUGACACAUAACAAAACAAUUGCACAAUAUGCCCUAUGAUAUUAUGUCUUGUAAAAUAAUCUCAAAAAUGUUAACAACUUUUCAUUUCUAAAUUAAGUACAUGAUGAAUCAAUAAAAAAAGAAUUGACUCUUAAUAACUUUUAGAGACAACUUACAAGUAUAAGAGCUGCGUUGAAUAGACGUUGACUUUAUGCAAGAGCAGGUAUACAUGUACAUGUAUAAUACUUUGAUUGAUUUUGGAACAUUCAAAUACGGAAUAAAAGAUGAAUUUUGAUCUGUUUUAUCAACUCAACUUUCAAACAGUUAUAGACUUUGCAUAAGAAUUUUUUCAACUCAAAAUAAGUUAACAAAUGCAUAAUUAUAUACAUUUGAAUAUGGUCUAUUUCCAUCCAACACAGCUCAUAAUAUAUGAAACAACAUAAGUAUUCAUUAGGAAAAUCACAUGACUGCUUCAACGGCAGACAAGCUAGAUGUUCUGAUACCAACUAACUAGGUUUAUCAUUAUUAUAUUUGAAAGUAAAACAAUCAUUGUAAUUUAAUAAAUAUAUCACCUUUGCAAUAUAUUGGUAGUAAAAAAACAGAAUUGCUUGAAUGAUUAUUUGCUAUUUGCUUUUAUAUCCAAUGUGUAUUAAGGGGAACAUGUAUAAAAUUACUUACAGCAAAAUUAGUAUACCAGGAAGAAGAGCAGAAAAUUGUUCUGUGAUUGAUUAAAAGGAAGUUGAAUAUGAGAGAAAGAGCAAUGAACAGCUUUAUAUAUUGUAGUUAGAACUAUUUUGAGGUCCCACAGUAAAUCAUCUGUAAGAAAUGAUCAAUUUGUUUCAAAUAAGAAACUGCUUCUCCUUGAAACAUUAUUUUCAAGAGAAAAAUGAUGUACCAAUGGUAAAGAUACAAAUAGAAAAUUGUGUUUAAUUCCAAUAUAUAUAAUUAUAAUUACAAUAUUUUGUAAUCUUACUGUCCAAUAAUAAAAACUAGAGGCUCUAAAGAGCCUGUGUCGCUCACCUUGGUCUUGUGCAUAUUAAACAAUGGACACGGAUAAAUUCAGGACAUAAUUGUGUUUUGGUGAUAGUGAUGUUUGUAGAUCUUACUUUACUGAACAUUCUUGUUGCUACAAUUAUCUCUAUCUAUAAUGAACUUGGCCCAGUAAUUACAGUGGAAAAUAUUUUCUAAAAAUUUACAAAAAUUUAUGAAAAAUGUUAAAAAUUAACUAUAAAGGGCAAUAACUCCUUAAGGGGUUAAUUGACUAUUUAGGUCAUGUAAACUUAUUUGUAGAUCUUAUUUUGCUGAACGUUAUUGCUGUAUACAGUUUAUCUCUAUCUAUAAUAAUGUUCAAGAU